GACGAACGCUGGCGGCGUGCCUAACACAUGCAAGUCGAACGGAUAUACUGUUUUAGGAUAGUAUAUUAGUGGCGAACGGGUGAGUAACGCGUGAGCAACCUGACCUUUUGAGGGGGAUAACACCCGGAAACGGGUGCUAAUACCGCAUAAGACCACACUGCCGCAUGGCAGAGAGGUCAAAGGAGCAAUCCGCAGAAGGAGGGGCUCGCGUCCCAUUAGAUAGUUGGUGAGGUAACGGCUCACCAAGUCAGCGAUGGGUAGCCGAGCUGAGAGGCUGAACGGCCACACUGGAACUGAGACACGGUCCAGACUCCUACGGGAGGCAGCAGUGGGGAAUAUUGGGCAAUGGGCGCAAGCCUGACCCAGCAACGCCGCGUGAGGGAAGAAGGCCUUCGGGUUGUAAAACUCUGUCGCAGGGGAAGAAAGAAAUGACGGUACCCUGUGAGGAAGCCCCGGCUAACUACGUGCCAGCAGCCGCGGUAAUACGUAGGGGGCGAGCGUUGUCCGGAAUUACUGGGCGUAAAGGGUGCGUAGGCGGCAAUUUAAGUUGGAUGUGAAAUACCCGGGCUUAACCUGGGGGGUGCAUCCAAAACUGGAGAGCUAGAGUGCAGGAGAGGGAAGCGGAAUUCCUAGUGUAGCGGUGAAAUGCGUAGAUAUUAGGAGGAACACCAGUGGCGAAGGCGGCUUUCUGGACUGUAACUGACGCUGAGGCACGAAAGCGUGGGGAGCAAACAGGAUUAGAUACCCUGGUAGUCCACGCUGUAAACGAUGAAUACUAGGUGUAGGGGGUAUGAACUCCCCCUGUGCCGCAGCUAACGCAAUAAGUAUUCCGCCUGGGGAGUACGGCCGCAAGGUUG
rnacentral:rRNA from 1 species